rnacentral:sRNA from 1 species
GUUGGGCAGGGUAGUGCAUGCCUGUAAUCCCAGAUACUUGGGAGGCUGAGGCAGGAGUAUCACAAGUUUGAGGCCAGCCUGAACAAUUUAGUGAGACCCUCCCUCAA